GAGGCUAUAGCUCAGUGGCAGAGUGUGUGCUUAGCAUGCACAAGGUCCUGGGUUCAAUCCCCAGUACCUCU
rnacentral:tRNA from 1 species